rfam:Parcubacteria (Jorgensenbacteria) bacterium GW2011_GWA2_45_9 TX22_C0021, whole genome shotgun sequence.
UUUUUUGAGGAUUUGAUCCUGGUCCAGGAUGAACGUUGGCGGCGUGGAUAAGGCAUGCAAGUCGAACGGGCCAGUGCGUAGCACUGGAAUGACGAUCCGCCGGUUGGCGGAUGGAAAUUCCACUGCUAUGCAGUGGCUAGUGGCAAACGAGCUAGUAACACCUUGGUACCUACCUCCGAGAUGGGAAUAAUCUUGCGAAAGCAGGACUAAUACCCAAUGGCGCCAUACGCAUCUCACUAAGGUGAGAUGCGAAUUCGAAAUUUAAAAUUUGAAAUUCGAAAUGAAUGAAUCAAUUAUAAAAUUGAAUAAUUAAAAAUUCAUUAAAAAUUUCAAACUAAAAAUUAAAAAUUCGCACAGAACUUUAGUGAGGUGCGGGUGGCUAAAGGUUCGCAAGAACCGCUCGGUGAUGGGCCUAGGUCCGAUCAGCUAGUUGGUAGGGUAACGGCCUACCAAGGCUACGACCGGUAGGGGAGGUGAGAGCCUGUUCCCCAGCGAGGAAACUGAGACACGGUUCCUACUCCUACGGGAGGCAGCAGUCGAGAAUAUUCCACAAUGGGCGAAAGCCUGAUGGAGCGACGCCGCGUGCAGGAUGAAGCUUUUCGGAGUGUAAACUGCUUUUCUAAGGGAAGAAGCCGGUGCUUCGCACUGGAAUGACGAAUUUAGAAUUUCGAUUGAAUUUCAGAAUGUUUUAAAAAUUAACUCAUUCAAGAAUUCAUUUAAAAUUCAAAAUUAAAAAUUGGAAAUUCCAAUGCGGAGCAUUGGUUGACGGUACUUUAGGAAUAAGUCACUGCUAACUACGUGCCAGCAGCCGCGGUAAUACGUAGGUGGCAAACGUUAUCCGGAUUUAUUGGGCGUAAAGGGCGCGUAGGGGGCGCAGGCAAGUCCGUAGUUAAAUCUCGGGGCUCAACUCCGAAACCGCUACGGAAACUACCGCGCUAGAGGACGUUAGAGGUAGAUGGAACGCACGGUGUAGGGGUGAAAUCCGUUGAUAUCGUGCGGAACACCAAAGGCGAAGGCAUUCUACUGGGACGUUUAAACCGGAAUAAUUUUUAUUUUUCGUUUUCACGAAAAAUAUUGAACUCAACCCCUCGACGAGCUCGGGGGAUUCAAACAGCAAUAUUUUUCUAACUUCAAAUAAAAAUUAUUACGCGAUUUAUGAAACAAAUUCAGAAAAUAUUUGUUCAAUAAAACAAAAACCCACCUGAGGGUAGGUGGAAAAUAGUCCCUCCGCCGAUUGGCGGAGAUAACUCAGCUAUAUGCUGGAACACCCGAGUAUCCAACGAUACCGAAAGGUAAAAAUGCGUUGGUGCGGGCAAUCAGCAGGGAAGUCGUAAUUGACCCCUCAGAGACUAUACGCAGAGCCCGUUGCGGAGCAACGGAAUUACGAAUUUAGAAUUUCGAAUUUUGGUUGAGCAUCCAAUUAAAAAUUUGAAAUUAAAAAUUAGGAAUUCCGCGCUUUGCGCGGUGAAGAUAUAGUCCGACCUCCGUGGCGACACGGAGAGAUGAACAGAAAUGAUUCAUCCCGCGACAAUGUUUGUAAUUUUGAUUUUGAAUUUGUUUUAAAAUUUGAAAUUAAAAAUUAAAAAUUGCACUUUGUCGCGAAGCAACAAACGUGUAGAUACCCUUGUAGUCCACGCCCUAAACGAUGUUCACUAGCUGUUUCGAGUAUCGACCCUCGGGGUGGCGUAGCUAACGCGUUAAGUGAACCGCCUGGGAAGUACGAGCGCAAGCUUAAAACUCAAAGGAAUAGACGGGGACUCGCACAAGCGGUGUGGUAUGUGGUUUAAUUCGAUGGUAAACGAGAAACCUCACCAGGGCUUGAAAUCCCGACGAAGACAGUCCGAAAGGAUUGUUGUCCGCAAGGACGGCGGGACAGGUGCUGCAUGGUUGCCGUCAGCUCGUGCCGUGAGGCGUUCCCUUAAGUGGGGUAACGAGCGCAACCCCUAUCCGGUGUUACAAGUGUCACCGGAAACCGCCCCCUCUUUUGCAUCCGACGUUUUGUAUGUCGGAAUCAAAAGAGGGGGAGGAAGGCGGGGAUGACGUCAAAUCAGCAUGGCCCUUUGAUGCCCUGGGCUACACACAUGCUACAAUGGCGGAUACAAUGGGAAGCCAAGCCGUAAGGCGGAGCUAAUCCCAUCAAAGUCCGCCCCAGUUCGGAUUGAGGGCUGCAACUCGCCCUCAUGAAGCCGGAAUCGCUAGUAAUCGCGGAUCAGAACGCCGCGGUGAAUACGUUCUCGAGUCCUGUACUCACCGCCCGUCAAACCAAGGGAGCCGGGAAGCAAUUCGCUUUUUUUCCGCCUUU